rnacentral:rRNA from 1 species
GAUGAACGCUAGCGGCAGGCUUAACACAUGCAAGUCGAGGGGUAUAGGUUUUCGGACCUAGAGACCGGCGCACGGGUGCGUAACGCGUAUGCAAUCUACCUUUCACAGAGGGAUAGCCCAGAGAAAUUUGGAUUAAUACCUCAUAGUAUAGCAGUUUCGCAUGAAACCACUAUUAAAGUUCCAACGGUGAAAGAUGAGCAUGCGUCCCAUUAGCUAGAGGGUAAGGUAACGGCUUACCAUGGCUACGAUGGGUAGGGGUCCGGAGAGGGAGAACCCCCACACUGGUACUGAGACACGGACCAGACUCCUACGGGAGGCAGCAGUGAGGAAUAUUGGUCAAUGGACGCAAGUCUGAACCAGCCAUGCCGCGUGCAGGAUGACGGUCCUAUGGAUUGUAAACUGCUUUUGUACGAGAAGAAACAACAUUACGUGUAAUGUCUUGACGGUAUCGUAAGAAUAAGGAUCGGCUAACUCCGUGCCAGCAGCCGCCGUAAAAC